rnacentral:rRNA from 1 species
AGAAUGAACGCUGGCGGCAUGCCUAACACAUGCAAGUCGAACGAAGCCUUCGGGCUUAGUGGCGCACGGGUGCGUAACGCGUGGGAAUCUACCCUUGGGUUCGGAAUAACAGUUAGAAAUGACUGCUAAUACCGAAUGAUGUCGUAAGACCAAAGAUUUAUCGCCCAGGGAUGAGCCCGCGUAGGAUUAGCUAGUUGGUGUGGUAAAGGCGCACCAAGGCGGCGAUCCUUAGCUGGUCUGAGAGGAUGAUCAGCCACACUGGGACUGAGACACGGCCCAGACUCCUACGGGAGGCAGCAGUGGGGAAUAUUGGACAAUGGGCGAAAGCCUGAUCCAGCAAUGCCGCGUGAGUGAUGAAGGCCUUAGGGUUGUAAAGCUCUUUUACCCGGGAUGAUAAUGACAGUACCGGGAGAAUAAGCUCCGGCUAACUCCGUGCCAGCAGCCGC